GACGAACGCUGGCGGCGUGCUUAACACAUGCAAGUCGAACGAAGUGGCGAACGGGUGAGUAACGCGUAAUCAACCUGCCCGUCAGAGGGGGACAACAGUUGGAAACGACUGCUAAUACCGCAUACUGAAGGAGGGGAUGGCGGUGGAUUAGCUAGUUGGAGGGGUAACGGCCCACCAAGGCGAUGAUCAGUAACCGGGCUGAGAGGAUGGACGGCCACAUGUGGACUGGGACACGGCCCAGACUCCUACGGGAGGCAGCAGUGGGGAAUCUUCCGCAAUGGACGAAAGUCUGACGGAGCAACGCCGCGUGAGUGAUGACGGCCUUCGGGUUGUAAAGCUCUGUUAAUCGGGACGCGGUACCGGAAUAGAAAGCCACGGCUAACUACGUGCCAGCAGCCGCGGUAAUUC
rnacentral:rRNA from 1 species